CAGGAAGCAGAAAGUGUCUGACAUCACAUCUCAGUUUUCAGCUUCUCUCGUCUGCACACGGCAACUCUCACCAAUCGGUUACAUCCAGCCACAGCCCAUGUCCAGCACAGCUAAUAUAAGGGAUGAAUAGAGGGAGUAAAAGUAAAGAGGAUGAAAAGAGGGAGGAGUAAAGAGGGUAAAAAGAGUGAGGAGUAGAGUUAAAGAGGAUAAAGAGAGGGAGGAGUAAAGAGGGUAAAAAGAAGUUAAAGAGGGAGGAGAGAAUAUAAAGGAGGAAGUAGAGAGAUUUUGAAGAAGGGUGGAUGGAGGAAGUACAGAGGAUAGUUGGGCACUGAGAAUCAUUCCCACCUCCAAGUUAAUUGAUUUUUCAUUGUUGUUCUUUAAAAAAGAUUUUUUUUUUUAAGUUCUGUCAUUAACUGCAAUGUGCACUUUCAACACAAUGUGUCCAAGACUGUUAAUAUUAAAGAGUCAUUUAAUCGGA